rnacentral:rRNA from 1 species
GUGAGGAAUAUUGCGCAAUGGAGGCAACUCUGACGCAGCCAUGCCGCGUGCAGGAAGAAGGCGCUACGCGUUGUAAACUGCUUUUAACCGGGAAGAAACCCCAGGACGUGUCCUGGGUUGACGGUACCGGAGGAAUAAGCACCGGCUAACUUCGUGCCAGCAGCCGCGGUAAUACGAAGGGUGCAAGCGUUAUCCGGAUUCAUUGGGUUUAAAGGGUGCGUAGGCGGAGCGUUAAGUCAGUGGUGAAAUCCUGCAGCUUAACUGUAGACUUGCCAUUGAUACUGGCGCUCUUGAGUGCGCUUGAAGGGGGCGGAAUGUGCCGUGUAGCGGUGAAAUGCUUAGAUAUGGCACAGAACACCAAUUGCGAAGGCAGCUCACUAAGGCGAUACUGACGCUGAGGCACGAAAGCGUGGGGAUCGAACAGGAUUAGAUACCCGGGUAGUCC